GUCAGCUCGUGUCGUGAGGAUGUUGGUUAAGUCCCGCAACGAGCGCAACCCCUACGUUUAGUUGCUAACGCGUGAAGGCGAGCACUCUAGACGAACUGCCGUUGACAAAACGGAGGAAGGUGGGGAUGACGUCAAAUCAUCAUGCCCCUUAUGUUCUGGGCUACACACGUGCUACAAUGGCCGGUACAGACGGACGCAAAGCCGCGAGGUGGAGCAAAUCCUAAAAAGCCGGUCUCAGUUCGGAUUGCAGGCUGCAAUUCGCCUGCAUGAAGUCGGAAUCGCUAGUAAUCGCAGGUCAGCAUACUGCGGUGAAUACGUUCCCGGGCCUU
rnacentral:rRNA from 1 species